AUUGAACGCUGGCGGCAUGCCUUACACAUGCAAGUCGAACGGUAACGGGCCUUCGGGUGCCGACGAAUGGCGAACGGGUGAGUAAUAUAUCGGAACGUACCUUUCAGUGGGGGAUAACGUAGCGAAAGUUACGCUAAUACAGCAUAUUCUGUGCGCAGGAAAGCAGGGGACCUUCGGGCCUUGCGCUGAUCGAGCGGCCGUGAUCAGAUUAGCUAGUUGGUGAGGUAAAGGCGCACCAAGGCGACGAUCUGUAGCGGGUCGGAGAGGAUGAUCCGCCACACUGGAACUGAGACACGGUCCAGACUCCUACGGGAGGCAGCAGUGGGGAAUUUUGGACAAUGGGGGCAACCCUGAUCCAGCCAUGCCGCGUGAGUGAAGAAGGCCUUCGGGUUGUAAAGCUCUUUCGGCCGGGAAGAAAUCGCAUGGGCUAAUACCCUGUGCGGAUGACGGUACCGGCAUAAGAAGCACCGGCUAACUACGUGCCAGCCGCCGCAGUAACAC
rnacentral:rRNA from 1 species